CAGAAGGCCCUCAAAACCAAGAGGAAGAAACCCAACCAUUAGAAGACCAUAAAAUUGUUGAAGAACCCCCAGAGGGAUCGCAAGAAGAACAUGGAGAAUUGAUAGAGAUCGACUGGUGAACAUGGACUUUUCAGUGGUAUAAACAUGGCCUUUUCUUUCUCCAACUUUAAAUCAUCAAUA